rnacentral:rRNA from 1 species
UACAGAGGGUGCAAGCGUUAAUCGGAAUUACUGGGCGUAAAGCGUGCGUAGUCGGUUGUUUAAGUCGGAUGUGAAAUCCCCGGGCUCAACCUGGGAAUUGCAUUCGAUACUGGAUAGCUAGAGUUCGGCAGAGGGAAGCGGAAUUCCAGGUGUAGCGGUGAAAUGCGUAGAUAUCUGGAGGAACACCGGUGGCGAAGGCGGCAUCUUGGACCGACACUGACGCUGAGGAGCGAAAGCCAGGGGAGCAAACAGG